rnacentral:lncRNA from 1 species
UGAGGCGUCCUCUUUGCCUCCACAUCCCUCCCACGUCACCUCGCCGAGACCCAUCUGUGUCUAGAAGAAAGUAUGAUGAAACCACCAAACAAUGAGCGAACGUAAAGAACACAAAUGUGGCGACGCGUUU